UUUCUACUGGUUUGUACUGGGAGGGGUGCAGGACCCACUGGGAGUGAUUUUGAGGCUUACUGGUUUAUACUGGUUUAUACUGGUUUAUACUGGUUUGUACUGGUUUAUACUGGGAGGGGUGCAGGACACGCUGGGAGUGAUUUUGGGGCUUACUGGUUUAUACUGGUUUGUACUGGGAGGGGUUGCAGGACCGACUGGGAGUGAUUUUGGGGUUACUGGUUUAUACUGGUUUUUACUGGGAGGGGUGCAGGAGUCACUGGGAGUGAUUUUGGGGCUUACUGGUUUCUACUGGUUUAUACUGGUUUAUACUGGGAGGGGCUGCAGGACCCACUGGGAGUGAUUUUGGGGUUACUGCUUUAUACUGGUUUAUACUGGUUUGGACUGGGAGGGGUGCAGGACCCACUGGGAGUGAUUUUGGGGUUACUGCUUUAUACUGGUUUAUACUGGUUUGGACUGGUUUGGACUGGGAGGGGUUGCAGGAGUCACUGGGAGUGAUUUUUAGGCUUACUGGUUUAUACUGGUUUGGACUGGUUUGGACUGGGAGGGGUGCAGGACCCACUGGGAGUGAUUUUGGGGCUUACUGGUUUCUACUGGUUUAUACUGGGAGGG
rnacentral:lncRNA from 1 species